rnacentral:rRNA from 1 species
UACGUAGGGGGCAAGCGUUGUCCGGAAUCAUUGGGCGUAAAGAGCGUGUAGGCGGUUCGGUAAGUCGGCUGUGAAAGUCCAGGGCUCAACCCUGGGAUGCCGGUCGAUACUGCCGGACUAGAGUUCGGAAGAGGCGAGUGGAAUUCCCGGUGUAGCGGUGAAAUGCGCAGAUAUCGGGAGGAACACCUAUGGCGAAGGCAGCUCGCUGGGACGUUACUGACGCUGAAACGCGAAAGCGUGGGGAGCAAACAGG